rnacentral:lncRNA from 1 species
CCUUCACCGGGAACCGAAGCAGAAGAGCGAUCAAGGAGGUCCUGACCACAGGACUCCUAUGGGUCCGACCCUGGGUCUCCCGCAGGCCCCUCUGGCAGUCCUCUUCCCACCCGCCGCCUCGGGCUGCGCCGCAGCCGCCGCCGCCGCAACCUCCAGCACCGCCGCCCCAGGCCCCGCAGCCGUCGCGUCGCCGCCAUUUCUUAAAGGGUCCGCAGCCUGACUGUGCGGAGUAAGGGGGGUUGGGGCGGGGGAGUCGGCCUCGCCAGUGCGCAUGCGCGUGUCGCCUCUUGGGUCACAUUGAAAGCCAGCGUUGCCCGGGGAUGGGUCCCUGACACUUGGCGAAGUAGGAGCCCUGUGUGAUCGUGCGUCUGAGUCUGGGCUGAGACCAGUCCUGGCCAGGGCAGUUACCAGGACAGUCUCCGGAGGCGGGGAUUUGCGCAGGGUCCACCAGCAGGAAGAAACCCCAGGAGGAAGAAACCUCAGACAGAUCGCCGGCGAGGCAGCGCGGGAUCCCAGCCUCAGGCGUGCGUGGACGGUGUGCGGUGCACACAACCAAGCUUAGGAGCCGACUGUUAAGAUGCCCAAGUGACACGGACAAGUUUCUCCUCUGCAACCCAAUGAGAUCUGCUGACCACGAGAGCAUCGCGGGACCGCCAAAGGAUUCUGGAAAAUGUGGUCCCGGGUGGCCAGUGUGCGCUGACCUUCACCUGAAGGUGAGCUGAGCUCACCAUGCAAGUCUCCAC